UACAUGUGGGGCAAGCGUUGUUCGGAAUUACUGGGCAUAAAGGGUGCGUAGGCGGCUUGUUAAGUCAGGGGUGAAAGUUUUCGGCCCAACCGGAAAAUUGCCUUUGAUACUGGCGAGCUCGAGUGCGUGAGGGGUAACCGGAACGAGCAGUGUAGCGGUGAAAUGCGUAGAUAUUGCUCGGAAGGCCAACGGCGAAGGCAGGUUACUGGUACGCAACUGA
rnacentral:rRNA from 1 species